UGAAGGCUGCUGGUAUUAUUAUCAGCUCCUUUUAAAUUUAUGAGUGGAACUAUGAAGGACCAGCCUCAGUUUGAUAAUCCUAUCUAUGCUGUCGCUGAGAAUUGUUUGAUCUGCUUCUAAUUGUCCUUAGGGACUGUCUCAUUUGAGGCAUACACUUGACAUUUGACCUCAAAUCAGGUAGGACUACCCGCUGAACUUAA
rnacentral:misc_RNA from 1 species